ensembl:snoRNA LOC120094511 small nucleolar RNA SNORA17
CCUGCCCUUAGAUUGUAGGUGUGGCCGCUGUGUCACAUGUACAUCAGGAGGUGGCAGAGGAGAGAGGCUAUGUCUACACUCAGUGUUCAGACCUAUGACCAUUCCAAUAAUUAGAUUAAUUUU